GGCUUCGUGGUCAAGUGGUAAAGAAAUUUGCCUCUUAACCAUGAGUUCCGGGUUCGGUCCCCGGUCGAGAAGCUA